rnacentral:misc_RNA from 1 species
UAAAGACUCUCUUCCGACCUCCCCGAAAUUUGGACACAGCCAUAUAUCAUAAGAGUCUAAGUUUAAGAGUUCUAGUAUUUAAAGGUGCCAAAGGUCGAAAUAAGACUUCUUUUAACUCGUUGGCAUUUUGUGACUAAAUAAGGGGCGUCAUGCGGGAUUUUGCUAAUCUCCCCUAAGGUCACUUUAUUAGUAUCCUAUCUGUACCCUUUUACUUACCUGAGUUUUGA